rnacentral:rRNA from 1 species
UACGAAGGGGGCUAGCGUUGCUCGGAAUCACUGGGCGUAAAGCGCACGUAGGCGGCUUCUUAAGUCAGGGGUGAAAUCCUGGAGCUCAACUCCAGAACUGCCUUUGAUACUGAGAAGCUUGAGUCCGGGAGAGGUGAGUGGAACUGCGAGUGUAGAGGUGAAAUUCGUAGAUAUUCGGAAGAACACCAGUGGCGAAGGCGACUCACUGGCCCGAUACUGACGCUGAGGCGCGAAAGCGUGGGGAGCAAACAGG